CCGUUGAAAUAGUAAUCUUAAAACAUGAAAUCACUUCGUAUUGCGUUUCACUCUUGGCUACAUAUAUAAGCAGACUAGCAAUUAAAUGUACAACGGCAUUGAGUGGUUCCACCUGCUGAUAUUUCGCAAAAUGCAGUAGUAAUAGCAACUUUGUAACGUAAGGUGCAAAGCUGGAAGCAGCCAUGAUCUGGUCCGAAGCUGCACUGAUUUACUCCUGUGUAGGCAUUGCAUAUCUUCCCUUGAUCAAGCAGAACAAUUUUCCCAUCUAUUUGAAGACAUAUUAUAAAAAUUAGCCAUAAAUCCCUCAGUAUCAACAGCAGCUGGAUAAUUUUAUCUACAAAAUUGUUAAAGAAAAGAAAGCUUCUCGUUCCUUCCUCCACCCGCUUCAACUGCUAAGAUCUUUCGAAGAAUUACACGCCUAUUACAUUUUGAAAAUUUUUUAGUAGUGGGGACCAUGUAUUAAUACUCUCUCCAUCUCAUAUUAACAGUGCUGGUUACUAAAAGUAAUUGUCUCAAAUUAUUUAUAAUUUCAAACGUUAAUGACAAAAUUGAUUAUUUUUUCCCUUAGCGAUACUUGUUAUUGAAGAUGGAGAUAAUACAUAAAUAGAAUAAAUAUUUAAUGAAAAGAGAUUAUCAUAUCUUAUGACAUAAAUAAGGGUGGAAUGGUUCAUGACUUUUUCUAAUUAAUAUUUUUUUAAUGAGUGAUUGAAAAAGAAACACGAUACAUAAUAUGAGACGGAGGGAGUACUCAAGACCCGAAUAAUGCAACAAUGAUUAGUUAUUUUGAUUGACAAAAUUUUGCAAAGAUCUUUGAUCAAUGCCUGAAUCUUUCUGUGUUUUUUGUGUGCGACAUUUUCCUUUUAAUGCUAUCAAGCCUAAAUGGAGGAGAAAAAGAUAGGUGAAAGUAAUACCUGAAACAAAUGUGAGAAGAACAAUGAUGAUAGCAAAGAAAGAUAAUUGGAAGAAUUUC
rnacentral:lncRNA from 1 species